rnacentral:rRNA from 1 species
AUUGAACGCUGGCGGCGUGCCUAACACAUGCAAGUCGAUCGGUAACAGGUGUAGCAAUACAUGCUGACGAGAGGCGGACGGGUGAGUAACGCUUGGGAAUCUGCCUAUUAGUGGGGGACAACCCGGGGGAAACUCGGGCUAAUACCGCAUACGCUCUACGGAGGAAAGCCGGGGACCGCAAGGCCUGGCGCUAAUAGAUGAGCCCAAGUCGGAUUAGCUAGUUGGUAGGGUAAUGGCCUACCAAGGCGACGAUCCGUAGCUGGUCUGAGAGGACGACCAGCCACACUGGGACUGAGACACGGCCCAGACUCCUACGGGAGGCAGCAGUGGGGAAUAUUGGACAAUGGGGGAAACCCUGAUCCAGCGACGCCGCGUGGGUGAAGAAGGCCUUCGGGUUGGUAAAGUACGUCUUUCGUCAAGG